AGAGAGGAUAAAGUCUUUUAAUACAAGUGCCAGUGGGUUGUCCCAGAUGUUUUUUUUUCUAAAGAAAUAUCGAUAAAAGUCUCUAAUAAUGUUGAGAUACUGGGCGGAAGGAAAGCCGCUGGCGAAACGAGGGAAGCCAUCUGCGGAAAUCUCAAGUGUCUUCAAAUACCAUAACACCAAACAAACACUGCCCGAAUUUUGCGGCAAUUUCUUGUGGCGAGUGGUUUUAGGAGCUUGUCGGAACAACUUCCCAUCGCAAUUACAGGAAAAUAAACAAAAUAAGAUUGUACAGUAACUCCGAAGACACAGAGAAAUAAAUAAAAGUCUUCAGUGGUUUA